rnacentral:lncRNA from 1 species
GAAAUAUCUCCUACUUUUGAUCCCACAUUUUUUUCUGCUACAAGAAAAAAAUAUACAAUGAAAUUAUGUGUGCUUCUGAAUUCCAGAUAAACUUAAGUAAGAUGAGCAGACAAUUUCUUAACAGAUUGUAACACUUGGCAGACUAUAGAGAAUGCCUCAUUUGGUGACAGAUUUAUGGAGAUAUAAUCCACAUCCCAUACAAUUCAUGGAUCUAAAAUAUGAAAUUUAAAGAUUUAAAAAAUGUAUUUAGAGUAGUCCAGCCAACACUGCAGCAUAUACAACAUUUGCAUUACCUCAAAAAAAGGACACUCUGUGUCUUUUAUCUAUAAUAAAGCAAUCUCCUCCAAUCCUAGACACCUGCUAAUCUCUGUUCUGUCUUUAUAUAUUUGCCUGUUUUGGACAUUUCAUGUAAAUGAAAUCAUAUUACAUGUAUCUUUUUUGACUGGCUUUUUCCACCCAACAUAAUGUUUUUAAAGUUUAUCCUUGCUAUAGGAUGUAUCAAUAUUUCUUUCCUUUUUCUUGCUCACCACAUUCUAUUAUGUGUAAGCACCAUAUACAAAUAAAUAUUUGAGUACUCAUUUCAGUUCUCUUGGGCUUGUACUUAGGACUGGAAUUGCUGGAUUAAAUAGUAAUUCCAUGUUGACCCUUCUUAGGAACUGCUGUACAAUUCCAAUCCACAUCUCAGCAGUAGCACAUGGGAUUAUUACCUGCCUUUAUGAUCAUAGCUUUCCUACAGGUGUAAAGAGGUAUGGCAUGGUGGUUUUGAUGUGCAUUUCUUUAAUCAUUGAGGAUUUUCAGCAUCAUCUUGUGUUUAUUUCUCCAAACUUUUAAUUUUGACAUAGUUUCAUUUUGCAAAAAAGUGGUAGGAUAGUUCAAAAGAUUCCCAUGCGUCCUUUAUUCAGAUUUACUAAUUGCUAAUGUUUUGAUCACUUUUCAGUCAUUAGUUCUGCUUUCCUAUGUUUCUGUGCCUCUCUUUCCAUACCUCUCACAUUAAAAAAUAAUCUGAGAGUAAUUUGUGAUCAUCAGGACCAUUUGUACAUAAAGACCUCAGUGUAGAUUUCUCAAGAACAAGAGCUUUUUGUUGUCAUUGUUGUUUUAUGAAACCGUAGUAUAUUUACCAAAAUAAGAAAACUCAGUACAUAUAUUAUCCACAGACCAUGCUCAGACAUCACCAAUUAUCCUAAUAUUCUAGAGUUGAGUCCAAGAUGCCAAAUUGCAUUUAGUAAUCAGAUGUCUUUAUCCAAUUUUCAUCUGAAAUCUUGCCCCAGCCUUUCUUGAUUUACCAUGAGUUGAUAUUUUUGAAGAGUUUGGGCCACUUAUUUCAAGGAACAGAUUAGUCUUCCAUGCCCUUGUGAUUAGAUUAAACUAUGCAUUUUUUGAAGUAGGACUACCAAAGAAGUAAGUAGUAGAUGGUAUGUUUUCCCUGUUAAUGAUUUCUAUCUUGAAUAAAACAUGCUGAGCUCUUACACUAAGGGUUGGUAAUACAAAAUGCCACUAGUGCAGAAAGCAGCCAGCAUCUGGAAAUGGUAUCAUCACAGAUAUCUAGCAGCAGGGAGCAAUGGAGAGCAACAAAGAAUUGUCAGGAGCCACCAUCUUCCUGAAACCUGCCAGGAGCACUUUACCCUGAGCAGAAAGGAGGGCACUAGCAUUAAAGAGCUGAUAACUGUAAGAAUUCAAAGUGCAGAACUGUUAACACUAAAAGAACCACCCUUGCCAAUUCAUGAUUUCUAUGCAAACUGGGGAAGAAAACACAUCUGGUUGGUAACAUCUUGGAAAGGUAUUGGGCUCCCUUUAGAAAGCCCUGAAGAAGAGAGUAGAUAGUGGUGAUGGUCAUCAGCAAGCUCAGGAACCAGCCCACACCUGAUUUCCAUCUUUUGUGUGACUAAGAAACCACACCCAGUGAGUGACAGUGGGACAACAGACAUGACCUCGAAGGUGUCACCUCUUCUUAAGGAGUUUGAAUCUUUCUUUUUCUGACCCAGGCCUGAUAUUCAAGGUGAUUCUCUUGGUAAGAACUCAAAACAGAAGCAGGGACUGAAGACCAAAGUGGGAAAAUGACCACUUGCCUCUGACCUGGUGGAUGUGAGGCAGAGGGCCCACAGGUCAUAUAGGGCAUUAUCACAUAUCCAGAUAUGUCUCUGAAAAUACCCUUCCAGCUCCCACAGGAAGCUGAUGUGUCAGGAGCCCACAUCAAGGACUCACUCUCAUGGUCCCCUUCUAAUGCUCUCCUCCUGGACUGUUACAUCUUCAUCUAGUCUGGGUUGGCGUGAGGUAUGUUUUAUGCUUGUGUUCAGGUUAAAAACUGGAUUAGCUCAUGUCCCAAAGCCUCUUUCUCCUAAAGCUGCUGUCUCAGUCAUGGGCUGUGGGUGUCCAAUUUCACAUGAAAAACUGACAAGAGUCAUUUUUUAAUUACUGCAGGAUGCAUUCAGCUCUGAGUGGGGCAUCUGGAAGAAGAGGAGUGUGGUGGGACAGGACAAAACUCAGUAGCAAAUACUUGUAAAUGCUGUCCCAUUACUAAGCAGUAAAUUUGGGAAAAUAAACAGUAUAUUUAUCUAACUUAAAUAUUAUCAUUGUUGGUCUACCAUAGUCAGUCCUCCUUUCAGUAUAGGACAAUUUAAGUAUUUGAAAGUCAAUCAGCCAUAGCUGACAUGAUUUAGAUUCUUCAGCCACUCAAAGUAAGUUACUGUCACUCCUCCAGCAUUCAAGUACAGAUCUGGGAUAUUCAUGAUAUUACUCUCCAGGAAAAUCUUAUCAGCUUCCAGAGUAGUGGGUCCAUUGGAACCUUCUGUGAUGAUCUUGGCUUUGACUCUGGGUGUGUUGGAUUUGGUCAACUGCUUCUCACUGACAGCAGGGAUUAGGAUGUUGAAGUCAGCUUCCAAGAUGCUUUGUUUUAUAUUUUUGCCUUAGGGAAGCCCAGAACUGAUCUAUGUUGCAAGUUGAAAUCUUCCAGUUAUUUUGGGUCAAUACUGCCACGGCCUUGGUUGGCUGAAGGGUCCAGGAGUGAGAAAUGAUGAUGAUGGGAGAUUAAGAAAAGCCUGGUGUCAUUCCUAAAAUGCUCAUGUAGGAAGCUUCACUGAUGAAGUUCUCAAUCUUAUGGAAAAAUCGUGGCCAGUCGCAGAGAUCUGCCUGUGAUUCUCCCUUGACUGAUGGGCUUCCAGGUGUACACUGCUGACCGUGCUGAGUGCCAUAGCCCUCGAUGACCUUCCAGGAGCCAUGGUUGUGACUGAAGGGGAAGGAGACACUCAGCAUGUAGUUGCAGAGCUUGAUCAUGUGCAGGAUGCUGCGCACACAGUUAUGCUUUUCUUUGCUCUCGUGGGUGUCCAGGUCCUCCACCAGCUUGACCCGCACCAUGUUGGUGCCGCGGCUGAAGAAGCCCCCCACCACCUUGAAGAAGUUGGAGUCAUCCUCAUGCUUGGGCCACCACCUCGCUGUAGUGGAGGGCAGGUGAUGGUCGGGGCAGGUGGCAGUGCAUGGCAUUGUGGCAAAGGAGAGUGGGUCUGAGGCCAAGAGGGCCUUACAGAUCUUUAUCCCACUGCCACCGAGGGCCUCUGUUGCAUCUCUUUGCAUGCAAAAGGAAAUCUGUCUUACAGUAGUUGAGAAGUAAAUGCAAAUAUUGAUUAGGCAGAAUGUAAUUCAUGGCAGGGGUGGCUUCUGAUCUUCAGCUUCUGGAGAGUUGAGAGGUGUCAUCAUGCCCAUUGAAGUCUGAACCCCGAAGUCAAGAAACUGGUUCACCUCUGGCCUUAAUAUUGAGCCCAAAAUAUUUCCUUUUACCUAAGCUCAUCUGAGUUUGCUUUCUGCCAUGGUUGACAUCACCCUGACAUAUAUAGAAAUGGAUGGUUCAUAGAAUAUUGGAAGGAGCAGGCUCCAUACCAUUAGGCUGCCCUGGAGGUGGACCAUCAGGGAGUAUGGCUCCUGCUGGCAGGCACAGAGCUGUCCUCAUGCCCUGGAUACUUUCCCCUCCAUGUUUUCUUGUGUUCUUGUUACUGGGAGGUGGCCUUCACAGAGUCCUCAGGGAGAAGUUUGUGUGUGGGUGGGUGUGGGUGCAUAUUUGCAGGCAGAAGAGGGAAAGGACUUAGAAGAAAGAUGAAAGAAGAGCAAUUGGAAGUCCAUGUGCAGAUGUGAGAUGAGUUGAAAUCUUUUCACUGAUGAAUUUGUUAGUUUAUCAAAUGAAUUCUAUUGUUUGGGGUUAAUAACAGGAAAACAGAAGUCUAUCCAUGUUCAGUACAGAUGAAACUUUUGUCAUUAAUAUUUUCAGUCCACAAAUACAGAGCCCAUAGAUGUGGAAGGCUCAUUGUAUUUGCUAUAUUCAGAGGUAAAUGCUUCAUAUUUUAUGAGAUACCUUGUGAUAUGCUUGCACACCUGGUGGAUGAUGAUCUCCAACUUCACUUUCCUGCAUUCUGGAUUGUUUUGUCACAUUGCAGAUGAGCCUUGUGGGGACAAUGGGCAAGUGUUGUCACACAGAGGACAUGGACAAAUUGCCAAAUACCUAGGAGCUCCUAUUUAGUGCCUCCCUAACCCUGCUGUGUAUUUCAGCCCAGGAUCACCUCACUAUCAGAAAAUACAACUUCCCACCACUUUACCACAGGGCUUCGUGUUUGUGAAAUUGAUAAACCAUUGCUCUUUUAAUCCAAUGAACACAGAUUCCUUUCUUUCCUGGAACACAGAUGCUAUAGGCAGAACAUUAUUUGCCUCUAUUUGUACCAUUUAUGUGUAUCUAGAGUUAUUACCAAAUCAAUUUGAGAACUGAAUCUUUAGGUGACUUCAUUAUUUGACAGAUGCAGUAGUGUGCAAUUGUAGUCCCAGCUACUCAGGAGGCUGAGGCAGAUGGAUUGUCUAAUCCCUGAGCAACAUAGCAAAACCCCAUCUCAAAACAAAACAAAAGGAAUUCAUUAUGACAAGUCAUGUUGUAUCUAUUAAACAGAAAAUGUGGUAGGAUGCUAGGAUUGCAACUCAUGUGGAAAGGUGAAGGGCAACAGGUUGUGUGAAAAGGCAAAACUCAACGAGCAGCUUUGCUGUCUACCAUCCCCAAACAUAAGCAGAACCCAUUUAGGGCAGAAAGGCAUGAAUGCACUCACAAGGCUCUGGCCCCAUGACCCAGACACCUCCUGCAAGGCCUCAUCUUCUGGCACUGCAACACUGAGGAAUCAUAUUUUAGGGAACACCACAGCAGCCUGCAAGCUGGCUUUAGGGAUGAUAGGGAUGGUGCUAGAAAAAAUGGCCAUGCCUAGCAUUGAGGAGCUUCCAGGGCUUCUGUUUAAGGGGCUAGGGGUCUCAGGUAGGGCAAUGGGGAGUCCAGCAUGGGGUCUUAGGUGCUGGAGUGAAAAGUGGGGAACAUUUGGGAUGAAGGAUGUAAGGGACUUAAUGAGUCCCCCUAAAUUUAUUGGUUGAUACCCUAACUCCAAUAGUUUAUAAUAUGACUACAUUGGAGGUGGCACUUUUACAUAGCUAAGUAGGGUGAAAUGAGAUAUUUAAGGGACCCUAAUCCAAUGGGUCUAGGGUCCUCAUAAGAAAUUUGGAGGUACAAAAAGACAGUGGAGAUGUAUGCCAUGUGAAAAGGCAGCAGAGCACUGUGUGCAAACCAAGGACAGAGCCCUUGCAAGAGACCAGAUCUGCCCCCAGUGCCUUCACCUUGGAUUUCUAGUCUCUAUGAUGGUGAACUAAUGAGUCCGUUUUGUUCCGGACCACAAGUCCUUGGUAGCCAGAGCUCAGUGGUGCAGCUUCUUGCUCUUCCACAAAGGCCAUCCUGGACAUCAUGAGUGCCGAUAAAGGUUCAUUCUGGAAGGAGGAAGGAGGAAGGAGGAAGGAAAAAACUAUUAACCAUCAUUUUAAAAACAUUUAAAAAUCAGCACACAUUGAUUGGGUUUAAAUGGUGUUCUUAUACAUGGUUAUGUUGUGUAAUGCUUAAAUAAGUUCCUACAUGCCUAUGUCCUGAAACUUUUGCCAUCCAAUAUGGUAAAAGCUUCCAAUAAAUAUUUCUCUAGCUUUUGAAAUAUAAAGUGCAUUACUGUUAUCUGUCAUCACCUUACCAUCCAGUAGCACUGCAGAACCUCUUCUCUCUGACUGUGACUAGUACCCACUAACCACAAUUUCUCACCCCUCCCUUCCUCAGCCUAUGGCAAUCACCAUUCUACUCCCAGCUUCUAUGAGAACAACUGUUGUAGCUUCCAUGUGUAUGUGAGGUCAUGCUGUACUUGUGUUUCAGUAACUAGCUUACUUCUUUUUCCCCCAUUUAAAAUUUUUUUUAUUAGUACAUAUUUCAGUAUAUAAUGAUAACAUUGUUAGUGGGGAGUUGGUCCAUGUAUCUUCAGUGUUGACCUUAUAUCCAGCUACUCUACUGAAUCUGUCAAUUAAGUCUAGAAGUCUUUUCACUGAGCUUUUUGGGUCUUCUAUGUAAAGUAUCAUAUCAUCAGCAAAUAAUGACAGUUUAACUUCUUCCUUCCCUAUCUUUAUUCCUUUUAUUUCUUUCUCUUUUCUAAUUGCUGUGGCUAAUGUUUCCAGAACUAUAUUGAACAGGAGUGCUGAUAGUGGGCAUCCUUGUCUUGUUCCUGAUUUUAGCAUGAAAAGUUUUCAGUUUUUGACCAUUUAGUAUGAUGUUGGCUGUUGGUUUUUCAUAGAUAGCCUUAAUCAGGUUGAGAUAAAGACCUUCCAUGCCAAUUUUCCACAUGGUUUUUAUCAUGAUGGGUAUUGGAUUUAGUUGAAUGCCUUUUCUGCAUCUGUUGAGAUGAUCAUGUGGUUUUUGUCCUUGACUCUGUUAAUAUAGUGUAUUACAUUUAUUGAUUUAUGAAUAUUGAACCAUCCUUGCAUCCCUGGG